ensembl:lncRNA
GCAAACAGAAGCACGUAUCACUUUGAAUUUCCCCCCUUCCUCCUUCUGGUACCGCCAGCUCUGGAUAAACCCAUGUCUUCAGACUAUUGUCUGAACAUGACAGAGUUCCCAGAGUCCAUGCCUCUCACACAGCCACAGACUUGCUACUGAGGAGGCUGCCUGGGGAAGAAACACCUGCAAGAAGCCACAGCUGCGGUGGGAGCUUCUCUCCUAAUGCUCUGUUUAGGAUUACAGCACUCCAGAGCAUCACAUUACCCCAGUGGCUGCACUGAAACCUGAAUUAUCUUGAGACGUCAAUAUCUGCUGUGCUACAAGAUGAAUUCUUAGAUACAGAGGACAAACUGUAAUAGUAGAACUAGAGAUGAGACAUGAAGUCUGGUGCUGAAUGCAGUGCCAGCGGUGAAGGACAAGGAGUAGCACAUCAUCUGCUGACCCUUGCAUGACAUUUCUUUGUGUAGAGGAGAGAAUAUUUCUGUCAUUUGUUAGAACGUCAGCUCUGUGCAUGGAAAUCUACAGAUCACCUAGAAUUGUAAAGCCAGAAGAAGACAUCUGAAUAUAGGAUUUCACUUCCUGUACAAACGCAAGCCAUCAAAUUUCAGCUUAUUAGUUCUCUACGGAGCCAGACUAUUUUGUUCCAGAAAUUCAGCCAGGAGAUGAGAAAUCAAGUGCUUUGUGUGAUUCUUAAUUCCAUUUAAUCUGGUGAACACUGAUUCCCUUUUCCUGCUGCCCUAGGGUGGAGCCGUGCCAUCCCAAUAGGAACUGUAUAUGCUACAGGGGAAAGUCAGCCUUCCCAGGUCUUACUGGCAUCUCAAGAUCAAAGUACUGUAAGAGCAACCAUCCAUCUUAUCUCAUACAAGCCACGCUGCCACCCUCAGAUGGCAAACAUUGCAGGGAACUUUGUCAUCGGUCAGUUUAAGAUCAUAUUUAGGGAGGUGGAGUAAAGGACUGUCAGAGCCUGUCUGUCUCUGGAAUCAAUGGAGGAAAGUAGUUGCUGCCUGUAUUUUAGUGCACCUAUGGCAGACAGUCUGUAUACAGCUCUUGGUCUUUAUUCCUCUGGUAGAUAUAUUGAGCCAUAAGUAGGUCUCCCACUGAUGGUGUGUUUUCAGCACAGUUGCUUUCCCAC